rnacentral:rRNA from 1 species
CAACCUGGUUGAUCCUGCCAGUUAGUCAUAUGCUUGUUUCAAGGACUAAGCCAUGCACGCCUCAGAAUCACUGCAUUGCAGGAAUCUGCGCAUGGCUCAUUACAUCAGACGUAAUCUGCCGCAAAUACUUUGCGGUUUACCGCAAGAUUGGAUACCUUGGCGAAACGCCAAGCUAAUACAUGAAUCUAGUGGG